rnacentral:rRNA from 1 species
AUGAUCAUUGAGUUCGGUAACAUUCUUAUUUACCAAGUUGAUCGUUUACCUAUCAAAUACUUGGGUCUGCCACUUAGUCUGAAGAAAUUGCGGAAAGAAGACUUCCAACGAUUAAUUGAUAAACUCAGAGGCGGAUUAGGACCUUGGCGUACUGGUUUUCUGUUUCAGAAUGGUCGUUUGAUUUUGGUUCAAGUUGUGCUCUCGUCCAUGCCAAUCUUUCAUCUCAUGUCUUUGGAUCCGCCGCCGUGGGUGUUCAAGGCCAUCGAUAAAAUCAGGAGAGCAUUUCUAUGGAAGGGGACCGAGAAAAUGAAUGGUGGACAUUGCUUGGUUAGAUGGAAGCAAGUUUGCAUAUCGAAGGAGUAUGGUGGUCUUCGCAUUUUGAACCUGAAGAUGGUAAAGUUUCUCUGUAGCUCAGGCUACAUGGAACCCCUGAAGAUUAUGAAUUCUGCACUCAAACUAAAAUGGGCGUGGAACGUUCGUACAACCACAGAUCGUUCUUGGAGCAUCAUUCUAAACCCAUUGGAGAGCCAUGAAAGGCAGCUCUUCAAUGCCGCGGCAAAGGUGGAACUAGGAAAU